rnacentral:rRNA from 1 species
UACGUAGGCAGCGAGCGUUGUUCGGAGUUACUGGGCGUAAAGGGUGUGUAGGCGGUUGUUUAAGUUUGGUGUGAAAUCUCCCGGCUCAACUGGGAGGGUGCGCCGAAUACUGAAUGACUUGGAGUGCGGGAGAGGGACGCGGAAUUCCAGGUGUAGCGGUGAAAUGCGUAGAUAUCUGGAGGAACACCGGUGGCGAAGGCGGCGUCCUGGACCAACACUGACACUGAGGAGCGAAAGCCAGGGGAGCAAACGGG